rnacentral:rRNA from 1 species
UACGGAGGGGGCUAGCGUUGUUCGGAAUUACUGGGCGUAAAGCGCGCGUAGGCGGACCUGCAAGUCGGGGGUGAAAGCCCGAGGCUCAACCUCGGAACUGCCUUCGAUACUGCGGGUCCGAGUCCGGGAGAGGUGAGUGGAAUUCCUAGUGUAGAGGUGAAAUUCGUAGAUAUUAGGAAGAACACCAGUGGCGAAGGCGGCUCACUGGCCCGGUACUGACGCUGAGGCGCGAAAGCGUGGGGAGCAAACAGGG